GAUGAACGCUAGCGGCAGGCCUAAUACAUGCAAGUCGGACGGGAUUGGAGAGCUUGCUUUCCAUGAGAGUGGCGCACGGGUGCGUAACACGUAUGCAACCUACCUUUACCAGGGGGAUAGCCUCUCGAAAGAGAGAUUAACACCGCAUAAAAUUAGUUUAUGGCAUCAUAAAUUGAUCAAAUAUUUAUAGGGUAAAGAUGGGCAUGAGGAACAUUAGCUAGUUGGUAAGGUAACGGCUUACCAAGGCGACGAUGUUUAGGGGAUCUGAGAGGAUGACCCCCCGCACUGGUACUGAGACACGGACCAGACUCCUACGGGAGGCAGCAGUAAGGAAUAUUGGUCAAUGGGCGCAAGCCUGAACCAGCCAUGCCGCGUGCAGGAAGACGGCCCUACGGGUUGUAAACUGCUUUUGUACGGGAAUAAACCCUGAUACGUGUAUCAGGCUGAAUGUACCGUAAGAAUAAGGAUCGGCUAACUCCGUGCCAGCAGCCGCAGUAA
rnacentral:rRNA from 1 species